GUUCUAUAAAGGAAACUUCCCUAGAAAGAAACCACUUCUAAAUGGAAUAAUUAAAAUAAUUUGUUAGAAACUUUAAGUUACCCUAUGAGCUCCUAGUAACACUGUUUUCAAGCUCAUAGGUUAAUUGUUAAGCCCUUUUGCUCCGAGUUGAACUGAUCAAAUGGCUCUGUGUAAAAGGUAACAGUGUAGAAUCCUCUUUGAGAAAUAGCAUGUAAACUUGGGAGAAAUGGCCUAAGCCCACGGUUCUCAAGUCACUGAGACAGUUGAAAAAGCCCCCUCAGGUGGUGAGAAUGGGAUAAUAUUUUAUUAUAUCUCUAAGAUGCCUCAAAUCCAAAGAGAUAAUUAAAUUUGGAAUUUUAUUAGUUUCACCUAAUAGUUGUAUAAAAGCUGAAUAUUUAAGGAUCUCCUUUAUCAGGCACUGAGAUGCUUUGUAUACAUUACUUCAUUUAGUUUUCACAAUAGUCCUAAGAGGUGGAGGUAUUUUUGACCCUGUUUUAUAGUUGAAGAACAGGCUCAGUAAGGUUAUAUUACCUGCUCCAAAUUUCACAGCUAGUUAAUUUAGUUUAUGUUGGAAGUUAGCAUUUAAGGUUGGUUAUUUUUCCUAUGUGGCUCCAAUUGCUCCUAAAAUGGUGUUGAUUUUUCUGUUUAAAAUGAUCCAGAGGAGGUUCUUGGUUCAAAGCAGAUUUUUAAGUGAUUUAAAAGUGCCUCAUUGUCCCAGCGCCAAAUUAUCAAAGUUCAAGGAAUUAUGCAUUUACUCUAGAAGGCUACGGCUUUCAAAUAUUAACUGAGAAAGCCCUACUCUUAAUGAGCUCGUUAAUGCACAUGGCCGCCUUAGUGUUGCUGAACUCCGGUAACUUUCUUCUGCUUUUUUUCUGAAGACCUUUUAAUUCAGGGUGUGCAUUUUCCUCUUGCGUGUCACAAGUGCUAUUCAGGCUUUCUCUAGUUGAAUCCCCUGUUUGUGAGUGCAUACCUGCAGUAUUUUAUAUGCUAAGUGAAAUAUUUUUAAAUUUACGUUAGCACCUAGAUUAGCGUUGAACCUGUUUUAAGAAUGGCAGAGUCUUGCUCUGUUGCCCAGGCUGGAGUGCAGCAUCAUGAUCUCGACUCACUGCAACCUCAAGCAGUCUUCCCACCUCAGCCUGCUGAGUAGCUGAGACUACAGUGCACAGUGUCAGGCCACACAGGAAGACACAGAACAUAUUUUUGUUCCAUGCCCACUAUGCAUCCUUCUCAUGGUAAUUUGGCCACUUCAUGUAACUAUGCUUUUCAGAGAUCUGCCAUCAGACAUGCCAGCAAACAACCCACCUGAUGGUUUACAUUCUCACAAUAAGGUAUUCAGCUCGAGUUUUUACUUUAAUGUCACCACAAGUGUGGUCAGUAUGAAUGCUUUUCUGAUCAUUGUAUUUAUAAAUUUGCAAGACUAAAGGACAGCCUUGGACUAUGUGAGUCUCCCCAGAUAACACUGCACUCUAAGGACCAGCUGGCUUCCCCAGGUUUGCUUGUCUUCACCUUGAAUGCCCUUUCCUAUCUGACUUGCAACACAAGAGUGUCA
rnacentral:lncRNA from 1 species